GGAGGAACCCUUGGGAUCGCAAGACCUUGCGCUCAUUGAGCGGCCGAUGCCUGAUUAGCUAGUUGGUGAGGUAAAGGCUUACCAAGGCGACGAUCAGUAGCUGGUCUGAGAGGACGACCAGCCACACUGGGACUGAGACACGGCCCAGACUCCUACGGGAGGCAGCAGUGGGGAAUUUUGGACAAUGGGGGAAACCCUGAUCCAGCCAUGCCGCGUGAGUGAAGAAGGCCUUCGGGUUGUAAAGCUCUUUCAGCCGGAACGAAACAGUCACGGAUAAUACCCGUGACUACUGACGGUACCGGAAGAAGAAGCACCGGCUAACUACGUGCCAGCAGCCGCGGUAAUACGUAGAGUGCGAGCGUUAAUCGGAAUUACUGGGCGUAAAGCGUGCGCAGGCGGUUUUGUAAGUCAGAUGUGAAAUCCCCGGGCUUAACCUGGGAACUGCGUUUGAAACUACAAGGCUAGAAGGG
rnacentral:rRNA from 1 species